GACGAACGCUGGCGGCGCGCCUAACACAUGCAAGUCGAACGAGCGAGAGAGAGCUUGCUUUCUCGAGCGAGUGGCGAACGGGUGAGUAACGCGUGAGGAACCUGCCUCAAAGAGGGGGACAACAGUUGGAAACGACUGCUAAUACCGCAUAAGCCCACGACCCGGCAUCGGGUUGAGGGAAAAGGAGCAAUCCGCUUUGAGAUGGCCUCGCGUCCGAUUAGCUGGUUGGUGAGGUAACGGCCCACCAAGGCAACGAUCGGUAGCCGGACUGAGAGGUUGAACGGCCACAUUGGGACUGAGACACGGCCCAGACUCCUACGGGAGGCAGCAGUGGGGAAUAUUGCACAAUGGGGGAAACCCUGAUGCAGCGACGCCGCGUGGAGGAAGAAGGUCUUCGGAUUAUAAACUCCUGUUGUUGAGGAAGAUAAUGACGGUACUCAACAAGGAAGUGACGGCUAACUACGUGCCAGCAGCCGCGGUAAAACGUAGGUCACAAGCGUUGUCCGGAAUUACUGGGUGUAAAGGGAGCGCAGGCGGGAAGACAAGUUGGAAGUGAAAUCUAUGGGCUCAACCCAUAAACUGCUUUCAAAACUGUUUUUCUUGAGUAGUGCAGAGGUAGGCGGAAUUCCCGGUGUAGCGGUGGAAUGCGUAGAUAUCGGGAGGAACACCAGUGGCGAAGGCGGCCUACUGGGCACCAACUGACGCUGAGGCUCGAAAGUGUGGGUAGCANACAGG
rnacentral:rRNA from 1 species